UCGUCGGGUCUCGUCCGCCGUAGUCGUGUGAAUUCCUGCGAUCACAUUUUGUAGCUAUUUAUUAUCAUACUCGGAAGCGCCUCGUGCUCGCUAGAAACGACUUAACUCGGUUUACGGCGUUUGCCCGAUUUUUACCCGACCGUAAUCGAUACGCGUGUAGUAAGUUAUUGUCGAACGACGUCGUUAUCGUGUAAAGUGUAAACGGCGUUUUCCUCAAUACCGUGUUCAGUCGAUGUUACAACUCUUCUUAGAGUUAGUCAGAGUCAGUAAAUUCUCGUAAUCGUCAUCAUAAUCAGAUGGAAAUCUAAUCGGCGAUUUGUAUUGGACUUUGGUCGAAAAACCGAGCGGAAUCAUAAAUAAGUAACAGCAGAUCGGAGGAUACCACUGCAGCAAUCAAAUGGAAAAAAAAUCACAAUGUGUGGACAGGGCGGGCUACGAAGGUUUCGAGCUGUUGGGGUUCAAAUUCGAAGUGGAAGACACGGCGUUUUCGAUGGUCGCCACCGUCUUGUUCAUGGUGCUCUUUUACUUCGGGCUGUACAUCAGACAAUGCGACGAGCUUGGCGUGGAGAGAUUUAACAGUUGAUACUCAGCAGUCUACACCUCGCAACAUUCAGCCAAGUAGCGAUGGUGUAGGAGUGGUUGAUAAGGGGGGGGGGAAGUCAUUAGGUUAGGUUUUACACUACAAUAGUGGUACCGGAGCAUUAUAUUUUGGUGUACCCGAACACUGUAUUGUACACAUGUAGAUAUCUAGUAUAAUAUGUGCGGUUUGUGUACGUUACGUUUAAUUUUUUUUUUAAAUUAUAAAAAUAAAAUAAAAAAAUCUUUGCACAGUCCACGGAAGUGGAAGCUGACAUCCAGAUAAUAAUAAUAACAUUUUGGUGUUGGUAAAAGGCGUGGGCUUAACAAAAACUUUUAAAAUGGUAAAAAAAAUAUUGAUAUUAUUAUUUGAUUUUUAAGUCGAUACCCGGAUGACUGAACAUUUUGUAGCGGAGCUGUCAAUGUUUUAAACGUUUUUAUGAUAUAAAUCGCGACGAUCGUGAUCACGAUUUAUGUAUCUCUUCGAGUACGUAUAUAUAUCGUUCAGCGUUCUCAAUAAAAUUUUUGUAAGUCUCCGUGGCGGGGCGAGAUGGGAACGCACAUGAAUUCUCUACAGUAUCAUACGUAUUAAUACAUUUAUGUUUAAUAGGUGAUAUAAAUCGCAUUGUUGUGUUUUCUACACACAUUACCAUCGUGUAUUUUGUGAAACUGCAAUGGGCAUAAUAUAAUAAUUACUAUAUAAGAAUUAAAAACAAAUUUUUCAGUUUGUGGGUUGGAUUCGCAUAUAUACAAUAAUUAAACAAAACCGUUGUUAUUGCAUUAAUAGUUGCACAGUGGAAAACACACUUCCGCGUACACAUAUCCGAUACGAAUGUAAAACAGUUAAUAUUAAAACCUUACCGAUACUAAACCUGUAUAAUACUGUUAACCAGGAUUACAAAACAUAUACCUAAUUGUUAUGUCUUAUAUUAUGUUUAAUGUUUAUAUAUAUAUUUUUUAUGUACCUACUCAUAAUAAUAUAAGUAUUAUAAAAAUAUUUUACUAUAAUGUCUGUAAAAAAAAAAAAAUAAUUUUCAAAAUCCAAUACGUUCCCGUGUAUUGUAUACGUGUACCUUAACUAUUAUAUAUUGUUGACAGUAUUCAUUUAAUAUUAUUAUGCAUUUUUUUAUAAUAUAUAUAUUGUAUAUAUAUAUAUUUCUGCAUUGUAUAGUUUCAGUAUUAUUUAUUAUUUUUUGAUCCCUUGCUGCAGGAUAACAUUGCAAGACUGCAAACCUAAAUGGCGGAAUACUUUAACGACGACGAAUAAUAAUAUAAUAUUUUACCUACGUAUACGCAAUACAGGUAUAGUUGCAUUGAAUGGUAUAAUUAAAAGGAAAUCAUAUUAAUGAUAUUCUUCUCUGGACGCACAUAAUAAUAUGUAAUAUAUAAAUACAUGUGUAUAAAUAUUAUUAUGAAAAUAUAUCUUUGAUAUUUAUUAUAUAUAUUUAGUCUCCUGUUUAAUGUAUUUUGUGUGUACAAUAUGUUAUUUUGUUUCAUCCAUAGAACUAUAGAAUAUAAUGUAUGUGUAUUAUUAUUAAUUAUAAAGAUAUGUUUGUAAAUUUCCAUUUGCGUAACAUACAUAUUGGUUGAUAUAUACCUCAUAUUAUGUGAACGUUUAAUUUACAUUUCUAUAUCUAAUUACUUGUAUAAUAAUAGUAUAUACUAUACCUAAA